GUCUACGGCCAUACCACCCUGAACGUGCCCGAUGUCGUCUGAUCUCAGAAGCUAAGCAGGGUCGGGCCUGGUUAGUACUUGGAUGGGAGAAAAACAAAAGCUGAGUCU
rnacentral:rRNA from 1 species